UAUGGUUCUUCAGGCAAUUAAAAAUAGCAGUUGAUUAUAAUAAACUCAAUGUGUGCAUCCUUCAUGACAAGCAUGCAUGUAUACUCAGUGCAAUAAACACACUCUCAAAUCCUGGUCCUGAUGAACAACUGACGCCUGGACCCUUUUGGUACCUAGGUUUCAGCUCUAGCCAUGGUUCACGCGCAUGGAGCAGAAGAUACAACAUGUCUACAAAGCUAUCAUGUGCAUCCGCACUUCGGACGUUGUUUAGCACCACCAACAGCAGCAGUCGCGUCCCUCCAUGCAACGUCAGUAGCCGCAUCCAUGCCUAGAACAGCAGUCGGCACCCCAUCCACCCCGUCGUGACCAGGCUGGCAGUUCGGCGUGGCAGCAACCACAGCACCAUGCUCCCUC
rnacentral:lncRNA from 1 species